ACGGGUGAGUAACACGUAGGUAACCUGCCUAUGAGACUGGGAUAACUAUCGGAAACGAUAGCUAAGACCGGAUAACUGGUUUUCUCGCAUGAGAGAAUCAUGAAACACGGAGCAAUCUGUGGCUUAUAGAUGGGCCUGCGGCGCAUUAGCUAGUUGGUAGGGUAAUGGCCUACCAAGGCGACGAUGCGUAGCCGACCUGAGAGGGUGAACGGCCACACUGGGACUGAGACACGGCCCAGACUCCUACGGGAGGCAGCAGUAGGGAAUCUUCCGCAAUGGACGCAAGUCUGACGGAGCAACGCCGCGUGAGUGAUGAAGGUUUUCGGAUCGUAAAGCUCUGUUGCCCUAGACGAACAGCAAGGAGAGUAACUGCUCUUUGUGUGACGGUAUAGGAGAAGAAAGCCCCGGCUAACUACGUGCCAGCAGCCGCGGUAAUACGUAGGGGGCAAGCGUUGUCCGGAAUUAUUGGGCGUAAAGCGCGCGCAGGCGGUUAAUUAAGUUGGGUGUUUAAGCCCGGGGCUCAACCCCGGUUCGCAUCCAAAACUGGUUGACUUGAGUGUAGGAGAGGAAAGUGGAAUUCCACGUGUA
rnacentral:rRNA from 1 species